AGCCGCCCAGCGCCGCCGCCGCCCGCCUAUCUAUUGCGCGCCAGCUCCGCCCCCCGGCCCACCUCUCUUAUCUUCUUCCAUUGGCAAACGGCUCUCCCGCCCGCCCGCCCCUCUGCCUGUACGGCGUUCCGAUUGGCUGACGGCGCCGCCGCUCGAAGGCUCGCCCGCCUCAAAACACGCCCCAACGGCUCUUCCCUUCGUGGAGCGCUUCUAUUGGUUGGUGAGGUUGCAGGAAGUGCGCGGCGAUUGGCUGACCGAGGGGAGGCCGUUGAAACGUGGGCGGGGACACAGCGGAUUCUCUUUGGUGGGGGCACGGCUAGGGACUCCGGCCUGGCCCUGAGGCUGGGAUCGCCUCGCUCCGUGCCGUGCUCUGGGUCGUCGGGAGCUGCUUGUAUAGCUGGGGGCUCGGGUAGAGCCUGCUAAGGGCCUGAACACCGUUAUAUUAAACAGCACGUUCGCCUUCAUUGCUCCCUUGUGUUUCUUUAACCCCUUGGAAAGCGUUUUCGGCCUAUUAAGAAAGAAUAAGCAUAUCUGGUAUCUCUUAGUCACAAGCUGGGGUUUUGGGGAAGGCAGGGAGCGCAGCACGCCGAGGGGCAGAGGAUGGAACUGGGCCCGGGCAGCCUCCUGCUUCAAGGCCUUGCGUAAUGCUGGGAGCUUUAAGCAAUGCCAUAUUUCUGAAAUGAGCAAAGUAGUUGUGUAAAGGUGAAGGACUCGGCGUUUGUACGGCCGAACCAGUCGAGGAGGGGGGGGGGAUGCAGAAGUAACAGUCCCUGUGGUGGUGGUGGAAGGAAGGGCUGAGCGUGAGCAGUGACUGGGGCUGGGGUGCUGUGAUGAGCAGAGCAGGAGCUGCCCCUCAGCAGGGGGAGAGGGGUUUUCUUUGCAAACAUAAAUCUGUUUUGAGUCCACACAGUGAGUCAGCAGCAUAAGUCUCCCCACAGAGAAAAUUCCACUGCAUUAGGACAAUGCAGGCAGUGCUUGGCGCUCGGAAAUAAGGCUCAGCAUAAAUGAAAUAAAUCAGCAAAUCCCUGCUUGUGCUGAAGUUUGGGAUCCAGUGGUCGCAGUUUUCCCCAAAGGCAACAAGCUGGCUCCUAUGCCUCGCUGUCAGCUGAGCUAUGCCCAGCCCAAAUGCAGGAUGCAGAGACAGGCAAGGAAACAGCCCCAAAUGACAGGCAGCAGGUGAGAUACCGAGUGUCUUAAAUUAGAAACAAAUACUCCAAAGGGUAACAAAGAUGUUUAAUUUAGCAUGCUCCAUGUCCUCUCUGGGCAAAAUGCAGUUUUGUUCCAAAUGCCUUCCAAGUCCCUCUUUUGAAACAGGUUAUUACCUCCAGCAUAACUUGCAGGAUUGCAGAACGCUAUGCUCCAAUCACACAAGCUCUGGGAAGUCGAUGCACGCACACAUGCCAGUCAUACAUGCCUUCCUGCUCUCCCCCACCCUCUCCCAAAAAAGCAGGCAUUCCUUCCUUUUACAACUGCUGAAUCACGGCACAGGCAGGCAGCCCUGAAGCCCAUUGCUGCCUGUGCUGCUUUGUCAUCUGGGGAAAAAGAGAAUCAGUUAGAAAAAAAUACAAGCUGCUAAAAGCAUAUCCGGCUCCUUGAUUUUUGAGAUGUUUAAGUUUGGUUAAAAUAAUACAAAAUCCACAUAAGACAGAUAGAUGGUCCAGAAAAAAAGAGGAUAAGAGGAAAAAAGAGGAAUGAAGGGAACAGACGGACCAUGCACAGAGGUUUAAGUGCUCUGGCAGCUAAGCAGGUGGUAUUUUUAGGCCAGGCUAUGAUGUGCCAGGGCAGGGCAGUGGAAGAAAGAGGGAUGGCAGAUACCACACUGCAUUGUUGAAAUUUUCAUUGGUUUUCAAUGGUUUUCAUUUAUAUUUGUUCAGGCAUCGAAGCAGAUCUGCCAAUUUCCACCAAUGAGUGCUUGCAGAGCAUGCUGUGUUGUUCUCUGAUUUUAGAGGUAAAUUCUGAAAGGCAGAAAGUGGGCAGUAUGGUGAAGCUGGAAAAGCCUGAGGUCACUCAUCCAGAACAGAUAGAACUCAGAGGAAAGAGGAGAAUCCUCUGUUUAUGGGCAGACCACGGCAACUUUUCUGCCCUGCUGCCAGACAGAGAAACCUGCUGCACUUUCAGCUUUUACUUUCUGAUCUUAAUUCUCUGUAACCUUGAUCUCUGAAGAAUUCCUGCUUCCUUAAUUCCCUCUUUGCAUUUCAAGAAUUAGCUGGAGCUCUGCUCAGAUCUCUUUCUCCCCUGGAAAGCUGGUAUGAAGUAAGUGGAAAAUCAGGCAGGUUGGGGCUGCAGGACAUCAGUGGGACUGCAGAUAACAAGCAGUACAGACAGAUGAGCAGCAGGAGAACACUGACUUUUGCUCUUUCAAACUUUGCACUGCAGGAGGGAAGACAAGCUCACAUCUCUAUGGGGCAAUGUCCACGUGCCCUGGUAUGCUUUGAUGGAAACCAUUUUUUUUACAGUGACAUCUCUGGAAACCACUCUUGAGAAAGGGGCAGGGAGAGAUACAUUGACUUUGUCAAAACAGAGGGGCCUAAGUGUCUGAAGCUAAAAAUAAAGAGCUGCCAUUUUCCAAGGUAAUAAAUGUGAAUGUAAGAAAUGUUAUAAAUUAAUUGUAACAAGGGGAGGAGAAAUAGUGAAAGGAAGAUGCACCAGAGAGCCAGAAGCAGAGCUCUAGCAGAUGGGUGGGAGGAGAUGGGAAAGCAUAGAAUGAAGUGGAAGAAGAUAAACAAUUCCUGUGGUAGUGUAAGUGCAGGAGCUAGCCUGUGCAAUGGGAACUUUAUAGAAAACUCCUGGGACCCACAGGUCAGAAUUAUGCAAGACAAGACAACAGGUGCAAGUUUGGUCUGUACAUAGGUAGCAACCAUGGUUCUGAUGGAACUGAUGGUUCCUUUGGGUUGUGCACAGGUUUGGUAGCUCCCGUAGGCGCUGCACCAGUCUGCUGAGCACAGUUUGGUCCUGGGUGUGCCCUUUUCCACCCCUUCUUUCAGAGAGCAGAUGUAAUUUGCUGCAAGGUGGCCUUCAGAUGCCCCCAGGUCUGUGCUCUCCCUGAAAGUGUCACACUGGAGGCCUUUUUCUGUGAGCUUGGCUGGGCACGGGCAGCAGAGUUGGACCUCCUGGGGUUUGGCUGUAGGGUGGGCUGUCAGCUCAGGGCUGAUGUUUGUUUUAUGUAGGAGUAGUUGUUUUGCCAACAAAGCUGUUUGCUUAUUGGAGAACAAAAAUAUUUACCAUUCUCUACCUCAAACACCUUCAGUUUUGACAGUGAUUGAACCCAGUUAAAGGAAACCAAAAUUCCAUCACAGGGAAUAAGAAAACAGUUGAAUGGCAUUUAUUAGUUGGGGAAGUGAGAGGGUAGGAAGCCCUCUUCUCCCACUCAGCCAGGCCUCAUGGCCAGGACAGCACUCAGGACAGCCCUCAGCCUCCAGCUCUGCACGAGGGCCAGCCCUGCCCCGUGCAUCCCCAUGCAGCCCCUUCAGACCCAGGCAGAACCAAUGCUCCAACAGCCACAUUCCUGGCAUGCCAUGCAGGCAGCACAAGGCCACCUCGCGCUGCUGGCCUGCCCUAAUCCUGCCUCGCCGAGGUCAACAAACAGGGAAUUAGCAGCACUUAACUCAGUGACCUCCACAGGGCCACAGCUCUCCUGAUCACAGCACAGCUGGAGCUGCAGGAGGAGAACAUCUCUGUCGUUUCUGCGGGCCUCUGUCCAUGUCUGACCAAAAAAAACAUCACCACCCUUUUAGAGCAGACUGAAACGCAGGUGUGGCUCUCACUGGCAUCUGAGCUUCAUGUUUAUACAAUCAACUUCCUUGUUGUUUUCACUUAAAUCCCACAUGAGGUUUCACGCUGAGCCCAUUUCUCUCUGCACUACCGCACGCUUCUUCCUCCUGCUCUGGAUGGAGCGGGCACCUGCCCAGCCAAAAACAAACCUGCAAAGCCCAGGGGGUUUGAUUUCAGUGGAAUUGGUGUGAUUGUCCUUUACGGGAACACACAGAUGGAGGUAAACUUGGAACAACUUGUGAAAUGGAAUCUCUAAUGCUUGAUUUAAUUGCUGAUGAAGGCAGGUUUGUGCCGAAGUACUUCUCUAUGAAUCACAGUGGCUGAGGUGGGACAUGCAUUUUGUUCAGCUGUGGUUGCUGUGGAGCCACACCUUCUGGUGCACAGCCUGGGUGGACAGUUGAGCUUGGAACCCUUGAAACCAACAUCAGGAGCUGUAAGUCAGCAGUGUGCAGGAGGGACUUCCUGCUGAGAAAUAAAGGAAAACCCUCCAUAGGAGCAGCUGGUCCUCCUUCGAUCCGAAGCAGAGCACGUGCCUGGAGGGAUGGUGACAGCAGAACAGCGAGGCACAGAGACUUUGCACCUCCCCAAAAUAACAGUGUGCUCCAUCGCAUUUUCCCAGCUCCUGGUGCAGACAGGACGGCACUCCAAAGACCCAUGACCGCGCUGGUGCAGCUCGAGCACUGGGACCUGUCCCAGCCUCCUCUCGAUGGUGUCAGCUCCCUCUCCCAUGCCGCUAUUACUCAGAAAAGAGAUAAGACUACCUUUUUUUUUUUUUAACCGACGAAAAUGACAGCGGGGCUCUCUGGCGCUGCCGCCCGCCUUGCUGUCCCGAGGGCGGAUCCAGGCGCGGGGCUGCCGACAUCCGCAGCGCCGCAGCGCCGCCUGGCGGCAGGAAUGCAGCCAACGCUCCAUCUGCGACCCGAGCGGCUCCCGGCCCUCCGGCAGAACGGACGCCUCGCACCUCCGGGGAGCAUCGCUGGAAUUCCCGGAGUUUUCCUUACGAAAAGGCUUCACUCUGGGCAAGGAAACAGCAGAGCCCUUCCUCCAGGUUUACUGCAGAGGUUGGAUCUUGCUGCCACCGCUGCUGAUAUGAAUGGGCAUGCAAGGAAUUGGCGUUUCCAAAAUGAAAGAGGGUUUUUUAGAGCAGAGCAUGUGAGCAAAAAUGGAUGCGAGAGCAUGGAGACGGCCCAAGUUCUUCUGGUUUGAGGGUGCAGAGCUGAAUGUGCCCUGCUCUUGCAGGUGGCACUGCCUUGCCUUCAGCAGGGGGAAAUUGUUAAAAAUCCUACAUGCGGCACGGCUGUUCUAAUAGCAUCUCAGGCAAUGGGGUGAGUCACAGGCUUAAGAGCAGCACUGCAGCAGAGUCACUGAAACAAACAGUGCGGUAUUCUCUGUGGGUUUGGAGGACACAGAAGCUUUCUCGUGUAGAAAAAACCCGUGCAGGUGUGGAGGCAGAGAACUCAGAGCUGGCUGUUCUCAGAGCAAACAGAGCUCGGGGAAGGAGAGGCCUCGUUGGGUGUGUUGGUGAUAGGGAAAUGGUGGGCUGGGGUCAGGAGGUUCUGCUUGGCACGGGAGGGAGGGGAAUGGGUAAGGUUAUACGAGUGAAACUUGACUACCUUUGCUCUCUUUCUUAGGUCAGAUAGCUUGGAGAGAUCUUAUCACCCGAGAGCUGAAUUAAUCAUGGGCUGAGUGGUAUAACUGAAAGGAAUAGAUCCAGUUGUGAGGGCAUGCUGCUACUCAGCUCGGUAGAAACUAAAGAAAGAGGAGGAAUGAAACGUGAUGUCUGAUUAAGGCUGUAUUAAAAAUGUCAUCUAUGCCUCAGGGGACGGUGCUGUUCUCAGACAGAUUCAAAAAUACAGAGGUUUGGUUUCCCAACGGGGAGUAAGGUGAGGGCUCCCCAUGCUGGGAGGGGUGGGCUGGCGCUGACCUGCCUGCCUUGCUGCCUUCUUAGAAACUGCACUGUAACAAUCCAUGCAUGUCAACUAUUUUGUUUUUGCAUUUUCAACUUAUUCCUGACAUUUAUUCUAAGUAUAUGCUCUCCUGCUUGGCAAGUAUCUGUGCACAGAGCUUGAAUCAGUCACUGCCAUCCAUAGCUGCCUUUGUUGUCUUGGGGCACUCACAUAGAAAAUCCAACAGAUCCUCCUUUAAGAAUGAAGAUGCAGAUGCAGUGCAAGCUCAGCAAAAUCCCUGUGAUAAAUGGAGCCUCUUCCUAAUGGCUUACUUAUUUUAUUACUGAACCAGUGCCUGCUUUACAGAUCUUCACAGAGUUUUAAAUAUGUAUAUAAUGUACAUAUAUCUGAAUAAUCUAUACACAUACAGUGAAAAUCAAUAUGUAAUAAAAAUCUAGUAUACCUGCAUACGUAUGGUUAAGAAUCUCUGUAUUUAGGGUUAAGAAUCACUGGUAGAUGAAAUGGUGAUCAUGAGAGCACUUUAGGAGGAGUUUGAAUUCAUUUUCACUGGAGAAAAAGGAGCAUUCUGCAGAUAACAGCUGACAGCAUUAGCCUAUUGUAAACACUGAACCUGUUAAAAAUGAGGGGAGAUUUUUCUGUUUGUUUUGGUAAUAGCCUAUGCACAGACCCUGAUAAGUCCUGCACUACAGACAGCACUGUGCGUUCUUGAGCACUUCCUUCUUCAGCAGAAGUUCACUAUUACAGACUGGUGGUUUCCUAACAAGACUUCCAAACGGCACCUGAAUUAAAGAUAACUCUGUAAGGAUGCCUGGUUGACACCCACAGUGUUAUUCAUCUCUCAGAAUCCCCUCUCAGAGGGGCUGUGACCAUCCAGAAGCUCUCCAGUCACUCUCAGUGCAGCCCUGCUCUGGGAAGCCUGGUAGCCAUCCCAGCAAACAAAUACAAGUUUGGGGAUGCCAAGAGCACUGAGGUCCUGUUUGGCUGCCUCUGCCCAGGCAACAUCCUUUUGGGAUUGUAUCAGCAAAUGAUGAGCAGGCGUAUGGAUUGAUGUUAAUUCUUUUUCAGUGGUACGUGGCUUAGUGAAAGGUCUUUAAAAUGGAGUGUGAGAAACUCCACUGCUCUUCUUGAGCAAUUGUAGGAAUGUGGGAUUGAUCUCCCUUAAAUCCCUUUUUUGUAUAAUCUACUUUUCUUUUUAUUUUCUAGUGCUGUUCUUCCUGCUGCCAAGAACUCAAUUGUCACACAGAUACUGGAGAUCUAUUGCCUAUUCAGAAAGCAAGGCAAAUUAUUCUUUGGUAUUUGCGGAACUAUAGCAACAGCCAAAAAUGUAAGAGGUGUAUUUGGGAUGAGAAGACCAAGAGAGUGAACAAAGCAAACAAGCUGUUACAAGUAAUCUCUGAAACUGCGUGGGACAUAGCAACGUCUGGGAUGUCUGCUGGCACUGAAGAAAAGGACUGGAUUGUGAUGGGAGACUGUGGUGAGCAGCACCAGAGCUUCCCAGUACAGAGAGCUGAGCUCCUUUGUGCUGUGUCUGGUUCUGCUUUGCCAUGCUGGACCCAGAUGAAAGCUGCUUCCAUCACAGGGGAGAUGAAUACCAUCUUACAGGCGUAGUGAGGACGCACAGGGUGUAAUUUUGUCAUUGGGAGUUUUGUUCAUGGAUGUGGCCACCACCAGAACAAAGCACAAAGCUCCUGGGCAGCAUCCCAGUUCUGAGCUGUGUGCAGCAGGCAGGUGGCUGCUGAGAAGUGAGAUUCUUAGGUGUGGUGCAGUGGCAUCCAUGUGCUGGUACUGCCCAUCCUGCUUGUUGACACUGUGUGCACAAAUCACAGGUGUGACAUCUAUUUGUUUCCUAAACAAUGUGUUGAAAUCAUGAUGUCUCGGGAGGGAUUUGUAUAGCAAAGAGAGCAAGUUUAAGUUAAACAUUUUUUCCUAGAGUGGCACCGUGAUGUUCAUUCGCAGAGGGGAAGUGACAGUGGUGGUUCUCGCAAUCAGAUCUGCCCACCAAACCCACCGUGAGCAGCAGCCUUUGGCAGAAAGCAGAGCUGCAGAGCCCUGCAGUACACCACCAUUGCCACCCAGCCUGCAUGUGGCUGGAGGUGAGGGUGUGCAGGAAGAUUUGGUAUUUUGCACUGUUUCUGGCUGUUCUAUUCUGUUACACACCCUAAAAACAAACCCAGCUGUUCUUAAAGCAGUUCCUGUCUCAGAGUGUGACUGGUCAUUGAAGGGAAGCUCCUCACCUUUUGCAAAAGCUCUUGGUGCCCGAAGGCUCAUUAUUUGCUUCUCAAAUACCUCUGGGAAGAGCACAGUUUCCUAACUCACAGCCCAGGCUUUCACCCCUCUGUCCUGAAAUGCAGCCGCUGUGAGGCAGCACCCUGAGCUGGAGGGCAUGAUGUGGUGUGUGGGACCAGCAGGCGCAGGAAGGAAGAGCAGUGCUGGAGCUGGUCCUUGCAGCCCUGCCUCGCAAGGCCGGAGUGGGACAGAAAGGCUCAGAAGCCUGCACUGCCAAUAUUAUGGUGGGAUGCGGACUGCCGUGGAGACAGCCUGGUGCUGGCACUGAGGGCCUGCCUUGUGCACGUGGUGUGCACUGCUGCCCUCUGCACUCAGGUCAGCUUGGCUUCAGCCAGGCUUGACUGAGCAAAGGCAUCUGAACAAAGGAGUCACAGCUGCUAACCAGAAACUAAUUCCCUCUCGGCUCACACCUCGCCCUUGUGAUGUCUGACUGCUCCCCAGACGCCUGCUAGCAGGUGCAGGAGGUGCCACGCUGUCACCUUCAGUGCCUUUCCUGCAGGAAGCAGCUGCCCAUCCUGCUUGUGCCACAUUCCACGUCCCAGAUCUCCCACAGCCACCUCCGCUGCCCUCAGGCCCCAUCCGUCCUCUCAGCCCCUCACUGACCCCCCCUGACCCACACGUACCGGGCAGCGAGUGCUGUGCUCCCUCGCCCUGUAAUUCAGAACAGACAAGCCGCCCUGCUUACAGCCUUUGAAGCUUUUCCAUGUGGCCUGAAGGGAGCCCUGCCACUUUUUUUCCACAUCACUAUAGGAUAAUAAUAAGUGUGUGUCCCACCACUGGAGGAAAUCCUUCCCAUCCCUGCUUUCUGCAAUAUUGCUCCCAAGAUUGGAUCUCUCGUUUGCUUUGCCAGAAGCGCAGCCGCCCUUCUGCUGUUGUUCUUCUUUGUUCCAGUGCUUUUUCUGACAUUCUGCUGAAAAAGGAAUACUGGCAAAGGAACUGCUCUAUGUGACAAUACUACGAUGCAGGGCUGGAUAAAAAGGGGCUGAACUUUCCUGUUUAUGUAUUUUUAACAGAUUUUGGCCAUUUGUGCAUCUCAGUAGCUUUUGAUGCUGAGUAAGCUGCAAAACCCAAGAAUUCUGAGGACAUCUCAAGAGAUGCUGAUUGCAGAUAGAGGCUGCUGGUUAUUUGCACCCCUCCCAGUCCAAGGGGUACCCAGCUGGCUGCACCAAGGCCUGGAGGCUCAUCUUUUGAACACAAAAACCUCUUUUUUUUCUUUAUGGAGCUCUUGGCCUGUCGCCGUUUUAUGGAAUGCAUUUCCAGGGCAAUCUUGCUGUGUGUGACGUCGUUGGGCUCUGCUGGCUUCUCCUCGCCCCACUGCUGCCAGGGAAAAACAGGGCAAGCCUGUGCUGCCCGCACCACCAUCAACCAACGCAUCAGCAAGGACUGGACCUGGCUAGAGGAGAUCCUGCUUGGGAAAUCAGGUUUUAUAGUGUCGCUAUGUUGGAGCAGAUCCAUCUGCUGGCUGCCGUGACGGUUCUUGGGGUCCUGGAGCAAGGUAGGGCAUCAUAUAUCCAUGCCUAGAUAUCGCCUGUGUUGGUCUACCAUACCUCUAUUAUUUCCUUUCACUUCCAUGCUGUGUUUCUGCUGCCAUGCUGCCACUUUACUGCUUUCAGUGAGUGAUAUCUUUUGUGGUUUUCGAACAUUAAAACAAAAAAAAAAGAGUGCCUGGCACGCCAGCCUCCUAAAAGCCCUUCCCCAGAACUAACACACCUCCUUUGUCUUGAUAUCUCUUGGUCGAUCUUCUCUGUAAACACGUAGAAUUUCCUUAUUUGAAACACAGAUUUGCAGUAGCUCUUGAAGUUGGUGUAGAUCAUAGCAUAAUACAGGAUGAGGUGGGUUGCACGGAAUCUCAAACUCAGCCAGGGCUCCACACUGCAUGACUAUAGACCUCAGCAUCUGGAUGGCUUAUCUGUGGCAUCGGUUCCCUCUGCUUGGCUAUCAGAAUUUAGA